GUGCCAGCCGCCGCGGUAAUACGUAGGGUGCGAGCGUUAAUCGGAAUUACUGGGCGUAAAGUGUGCGCAGGCGGCCAUGCAAGUCGAGUGUGAAAGCCCCGGGCUUAACUUGGGAAUUGCGCUCGAAACUACGUGGCUGGAGUGUGGCAGAGGAAGGUGGAAUUCCACGUGUAGCGGUGAAAUGCGUAGAGAUGUGGAGGAACACCAAUGGCGAAGGCAGCCUUCUGGGCCAACACUGACGCUCAUGCACGAAAGCGUGGGGAGCAAACAGGAUUAGAUACCCGAGUAGUCC
rnacentral:rRNA from 1 species